rnacentral:rRNA from 1 species
UACAGAGGGUGCGAGCGUUAAUCGGAAUUACUGGGCGUAAAGCGUGCGUAGACGGUUAUUUAAGUCAGAUGUGAAAGCCCCGGGCUCAACCUGGGAACUGCAUCCAUAACUGCCUGACUAGAGUACGGUAGAGGGUGGUGGAAUUUCCUGUGUAGCGGUGAAAUGCGUAGAUAUAGGAAGGAACACCAGUGGCGGAGGCGACCACCUGGACUGAUACUGACACUGAGGUGCGAAAGCGUGGGGAGCAAACAGG